rnacentral:lncRNA from 1 species
GAGGAGCGACAGUGGCAAGGAGAAGGUCUGGUCGGCACAACUCGAGCUCAAGUGGCCGGAAAUCGCAGGAGCUUUAAUCGACAGUUAACACAGCUCCUCUUUCUCUCUCGUUUUGCGCAUAGACGGACCGAAAAUAGGGGAAAGCGGUGACUGGAGGAACUGCUAGUAAAGGAAGGGUGGUUAAGUCGGCCGGAGUUGAGUUCAGGCGAUCGGAAAACGGUGGAGAAGAGAAAAGGGUGUGGUCGGCGCUAUCCGGAAGGAGAGAAGGGUAGGAUAGGAC